AGCUUCACGUCUCACUACAGCUAAUGAACCAAUCAGAUCAGUCCACAGAGCUGCUUUUCUACUGAACACACAAGUUGAUUUCCUCACUAUCACUGUGUCUGAACAGGAACGAUGAUCUCACUCUUUGUGGCGCUUUACUCUCUGCUUUGUCUCUGCACAGCUGUAAAAACAUCUGACAUCAAGGAGCUUCACGUGAGAACAGUAAAGAGUGGAGAAGAUGUAACUAUAGCGUGUGAUCUCAGUCUGAUCAGAGACAAAAGUAAAGUAGUCUGGUACAGACAGAGUUUUGGAAAAGUGCCUCAGUUUUUUGCAAAACGUUACGGGACAAAUAACUACACAUUUACUGAUGGAUUUAAUGAUAAUCGCUUCAGUUUUACUGUAAAUGAGCAUCAGUUUGAUCUCAACAUUAAGAACCUGAGAGAAGAUGAUGGAGGAGAAUAUUUCUGUGGAGAAAUGGAGGGAACUACAAUAAAGUUCACAUCUGGAACACGUCUGCAAUUUGAAGAUAAAGAGAUGAAACUCUGUCCUUCACCUGGACCAGGAAACAAGAACUUCAGUUCUGAUCCACCCCAGGAUUCAUACAACAUAGAUGAAGGUUGGAGCUGUUGGCAGAUGCGUGUGUUCCUCCUGCUCUCUCUUUAUAGAGUUGGAGUUCUUGUAUUUUUCAUAAUUCCAUUCCUCCUGAUUAUUUUCAAAUUGAGAUCAAAGUAGAAAUUUGAAUGGAAAUGGAAGAAAUAGUGAGAUGAGGAGGAUCAGUGUGUUGAUUGAACUGGAAAUAUUUGCUUCUAUUGGCUGUAUAUUGGAAUGAUUUUGGUUGAACUGUAAUGUGGAGGGAUUUCCAGCUGUGUGUAAAAACUCCUGAGUGGAAACAUCCACACAAAUGCAGUUCAUUCCAUUAAAAUAUGAAGUGAAUGUAAAAUGCAGUUUUCCUCUUUAUUUCUCCUCUUUUUCUUCAUCACUUCAGAGAGAACUUCAGAUUUCCCACAUCACAUAAGGCACAUGUUUGAGAGUUCAGGAGACAUGAGAAAGCUGACAGUUUGCUCUCAUAGAAAACCCUCAUGGAGCCUCAAAAAGAGCAAAACUGUUGCAGGCCCUGGGUAAGAGACCCCAAAAGGGCCAUUGGGGACUGAUUAUGAUUUUUCCCAGACCACACUGUGACCCUUUAACAUGUUUUAGGGCCCAAGUGAGGUCACUGUUGGCA